CCUACGGGAGGCAGCCGUGGGGAAUCUUGGGCAAUGGGCGCAAGCCUGACCCAGCAACGCCGCGUGAAGGCAGAAGGCUUUCGGGUUGUAAACUUCUUUUAUCAGGGACGAAGCAAGUGACAGUACCUGAUGAAUAAGCCACGGCUAACUACGUGCCAGCCGCCGCGGUACUACGUAGGUGGCACGCGUUAUCCGGAUUUACUGGGUGUAAAGGGCGUGUAGGCGGGCGUGCAAGUCAGAUGUGAAAACGCUGGGCUCAACCCAUAGCCUGCAUUUGAAACUGUACUUCUUGAGUGCUGGAGAGGCAAUCGGAAUUCCGGGUGUAGCGGUGAAAUGCGUAGAGAUACGGAGGAACACCAGUGGCGAAGGCGGAUUGCGGGACAGUAACUGACGCUGAGGCGCGAAAGCGUGGGGAGCAAACAGGAUUAGAUACCCGAGUAGUC
rnacentral:rRNA from 1 species